rnacentral:rRNA from 1 species
CAUGUCUUUUUGAUUAUAAUUUAAAGUCUAAUCUGCACAAUGAUUAUUAAAUUGCCGCAGUAUUUUGACUGUGCAAAGGUAGCAUAAUAAUUAGUUUCUUAAUUAGGAACUGGUAUGAAUGAUUGGACGAGAAAAUAACUGUCUCUUAAUAAAUUGUUUUUAAAUUUUAUUUUUAAGUUAAAAAGCUUAAAUAAUUAUAAAAGACAAGAAGACCCUAUAGAGUUUUAUAUUUAUAGUUGAUUGGUUAUUAGAAAUAUUUUUUGAUUUAAAGUAUUUGGUUGGGGUGAUUUAUGGAUUUAUGUAAUUCUUUAAAUAUUUUAUUGAUGAUUAUUAAAUUAUUAUUCUAAAAUUUUUAAAAUUAAAAUUAAUUACCUUAGGGAUAACAGCGUAAUUUUUCUUAAAAGCUCUUAUUGAAAGAAAAUUUUGCGACCUCGAUGUUGGAUUAAAAUAAAUUUUUAGUGCAGUAACUAGAAAAUUAGGUCUGUUCGACCUUUAAUAUUUUACAUGAUCUGAGUUUAAAUCGGUGUAAGCCAGGUUGGAUUCUAUCUUUAGUUUUAUUAAAUGUUUUAGUACGAAAGGACCAAAUAUUUAUUAUAUAUUAAUUA